UACGGAGGGGCUAGCGUUGUUCGGAAUUACUGGGCGUAAAGCGCACGUAGGCGGCUUUGUAAGUUAGAGGUGAAAGCCCAGGGCUUAACCCUGGAAUUGCCUUUAAGACUGCAUCGCUAGAAUCGUGGAGAGGUGAGUGGAAUUCCGAGUGUAGAGGUGAAAUUCGUAGAUAUUCGGAAGAACACCAGUGGCGAAGGCGACUCACUGGACACGUAUUGACGCUGAGGUGGCGAAAGCGUGGGGAGCAAACAGG
rnacentral:rRNA from 1 species